CUGGAGAGAGAAGGUCGGGAUCUGCUGCUGAAUACACUUUGUGAGAACCAGCAGAUGCAGGCAUUACUGGAUGUCCUUGGACAGCUCAUCCAGAGUCAACGUGCAUUGCAAAACGAUGCGGCAGCCGCCGCUCACCGCUAACGCAGCCACAACACGCAGUUGCGCCGACCAUCAGACCUUUUGAUGCUGCACUGGAAAACUGGACGGAGUGGUCACGCCAAAUUGGAUUCCAUCUCGCAGCCUACAGAGUUCAAGGCACAUGACGUGGUUCACAGUGAAAACCCACUCCACACCUCUGCAGCACACCCAUGGAGCAGCCAACUUUGGCCAUUCUCUUUGUCGCCUCUAUCGGAGUGCAGAGGUACUAUGAACAGGGAAUUGCACUGUUUACUCGAACGGCAGACAUGUAACUGUAAACAAACACGAAAUUAGUUACGUAACUUUAAUUUUACUAAGUGAUAGUUAAAACUUUAUGAUUAACCCUCUUAUGUACCCCACUUUAUCUACGGCCCAAGCUGCUUCAUGGUCAUAAGAGACCUCUUUAGGAGUGGUGCAAAGUGGUCUAAGGUUAGGGUGACUGUAAGUGUGGUGGCACUGUUCGGAUCUUACACUGUGCUCGUUGCACAGGUGCCACUGUGACAUCUCAUAUCUUAUCUCACCUUCCAUUGCGGGUAGAAGUUACAUUCGUCAAAUUUUUAAUAAAAUGUAAAAUAGUGAAAAUUCGAGAUGCCUCGAGCUAGUGAUGAAUGCUUGCGUUAGAUACGUAUGCAAUAUACGGUUGUAUGAUCAUAUCAGUCCUUCAUACUCCCAGCUAGGUUGGAUACGCCCACAUAAGGCCUGCGAUCUCCACCCGAUGUGUUUACUUCAUCGAUUUCUUAGCCACUGGUGCCCCCAAUACUUAUCUUCUCACAUUAAACACCUAUCAUCAUUCCACAACCGCAAUACCAGAUCGGAUACGUCUAGCAUCUUGGCUGUAGCUUUACAUAACACAAAAUCUUUCUCCGUGUCAUUCUCCAUCUCAGCCAUACGACUAUGGAACGGGCUCCCCUGUGAUCUGCGUCUUAUCCAGAACCACUCAACAUUCAAGAGGGAACUCAAGACUUACAUAUUAGGGACGAUAUAGCCACCAUUGUUGUGCCCCUCUCAUCUCUUUCUUUCUCCUCUCCAUCAUAGCUUCGAAUUUUACCAUUCUUUUUCUCUUCCUCUAACCUAUCUACCUCUUCUAUAUCUCUUUCACCCCAUUCUAUCGUCUUAUGUCUCUGCUUGAUGAGAAUAACUCACAAGCUGCAAGAAUAUAACGAGAAAAUUCCCAACUAGCAAUAGGACUGACAUUCAUAAAAGAAAAAUAUGUUUAUUUUCAUAUACAUAGGCAUUACUAUUAUUAUUAUUAUUAUUGAUUAUUAUAAUUAUUUUUUGAUUGUUAUAAUUAUCAUUGUACUACAUUUAUAAUCUCUAAUUUUUUUCUUUAAAAUUAAUACUGUAUAACAUGUUAUAUGUCCUUAAUGUUCUGUAGAAACUGAAAUUUGUUGAAUCUGAAUAUGGCUGGUUAGGUGUAAGAGAGGGCCUGAAGGCCCUAAUCUUGCCAGAUAAAAU